rnacentral:rRNA from 1 species
GAUGAACGCUGGCGGCGUGCCUAAUACAUGCAAGUCGAGCGAACAGACGAGGAGCUUGCUCCUCUGACGUUAGCGGCGGACGAGUGAGUAACAAGUGGAUAACCUACCUAUAAGACUGGGAUAACAUCGGGAAACCGGAGCUAAUACCGGGUAAUAUAUUGAACCGCAUGCUUCAAUAGUGUAAGACGGUUUUGCUGUCACUUAUGGAUGGAUCCGCGCCGCAUUAGCUAGUUGGUAAGGUAACGGCUUACCAAGGCAACGAUGCGUAGCCGACCUGAGAGGGUGAUCGGCCACCCUGGAACUGAGACACGGUCCAGACUCCUACGGGAGGCAGCAGUAGGGAAUCUUCCGCCAUGGGCGAAAGCCUGACGGAGCAACGACGCGGGAGUGAGGAAGGUCUUCGGAUCGUAAAACUCUGUUAUUAGGGAAGAACAAAUGUGUAAGUAACUAUGCACGUCUUGACGGUACCUAAUCAGAAAGCCACGGCUAACUACGUG